CUUAUUGAGAUGGAAGACGGCAUUCUGGUGUUGCAAGAGCGUUCUGAGCUGUGAAUCACAGAGAGAGAUUUAACUUCUGUUUCACUCCUGACAAAAGCUUUACUGGAUUUCAGCUAUGUGAAAUGGUACCUUGAUCAAGAGCUCCAAGCAAGGCACUGGAAUGCGGGCAGGUAGAGCAACGAUGCUGAAAAUGAGCCACUUUGCACCAGAGCAGAUGGGUGGAGCUUGGGUGACUAAUUCUACUUCUGCACAAUAAACUGCCUUUUCUGUUCAGCUCCCUACGUGCUUUCUUUGACUAUUCUGAACUGAACCAGGUACUCAUUCCUAAUCUCCUACUGAUGUAACUGGGAAUCCCAGUGUAGCGAUGACUUGAGAAUUGAAUCCUCUGGGCUGGGUCCAGCCUCCAUUAGAGCACACUGGCUACUAGAAUUGUAUCCCAGAAUAUUUUAAAGAAUUUUCGGAAAUGUUCUGUUAAAAAGUAGUUUUUUAAAAAAGAAAAAUACCUAAAAGGAUCUCAGACAUGCCAGAGAUGUUACCAGUGGUUGUCAUACAGAACUUUAAAAUAACAAAAUGUUUUCUUCAGCAAGAAGCCAUAGUUAAAAAUUAGCUUUGAGGAACAGAGAAUGAUUAAUGAAACUCCUCUUACUUAGAGCACUAAGCCUUCUUGAGGUUUAAAUGUCUGCUAUAGAAAAUGUCCACAAUUUGGAGUGAAUUAUUUAUAGAAGAAAUUAGGCAAUAUACAGGGCUUGUGGUUUCUGUUCAGAGCAGAAGAUAAAAAGCUUCUAGGUUUUAAAAUUAUUAUUAUUUUAUUUCUAAGCAUUUCUCUUACUGAAUUCUUGACAUAUGUACUGCUAAUUAAGCAGUAAUGAUUUUCUUUCAUUUGCACUGCAAAUUAUGCCAAUACUUACGCUUUUCUUCACAGAAUGUAUUUUGUUAACUGACCUAGGGUUUAGUGUGGAAUACAAAAUGAGAAAGAAUUGUUAAGUUCCAGUCGAUGCUUUGAGAUUCCUCAGGAGUUCUGCUGUUGCUAAGUUUUGAAUUUUAAUUUUGGAGACACCGACAAAGAUAUACAACAAAAA